UGGGGAAUAUUGCACAAUGGAGGGAACUCUGAUGCAGCGACGCCGCGUGAGUGAUGAAGGAAUUCGUUUCGUAAAACUCUGUUCUAUGGGAAGAAAAGGACUGUACCAUAGGAGAAAGCUCCGGCUAAAUACGUGCCAGCAGCCGCGGUAAUACGUAUGGAGCGAGCGUUGUCCGGAAUUAUUGGGCGUAAAGGGUGCGCAGGCGGCUUUACAAGUUGGAUGUGAAAUAUUGUGGCUCAACCACAAACGUGCAUCCAAAAAUGCAAAGCUUGAGUUAAGGAGAGGUAAGUGGAAUUCCUGGUGUAGCUGUGGAAUGCGUAGAUAUCAGGAGGAAUACCGGUGGCGAAGGCGACUUACUGGACUUAAACUGACACUCAGGCACGAAAGCGUGGGGAGCAAACAGG
rnacentral:rRNA from 1 species